AUUGAACGCUGGCGGCAGGCCUAACACAUGCAAGUCGAGCGGAUGACGGGAGCUUGCUCCUUGAUUCAGCGGCGGACGGGUGAGUAAUGCCUAGGAAUCUGCCUGGUAGUGGGGGACAACGUUUCGAAAGGAACGCUAAUACCGCAUACGACCUACGGGAGAAAGCAGGGGACCUUCGGGCCUUGCGCUAUCAAAUGAGCCUAGGUCGGAUUAGCUAGUAGGUGAGGUAAUGGCUCACCUAGGCGACGAUCCGUAACUGGUAUGAGAGGAUGAUCAGCCACACUGGAACUGAGACACGGUCCAGACUCCUACGGGAGGCAGCAGUGGGGAAUAUUGGACAAUGGGCGAAAGCCUGAUCCAGCCAUGCCGCGUGUGUGAAGAAGGUCUUCGGAUUGUAAAGCACUUUAAGUUGGGAGGAAGGGCAGUAAGCUAAUACCUUGCUGUUUUGACGUUACCGACAGAAUAAGCACCGGCUAACUCUGUGCCAGCAGCCGCCGCCGUA
rnacentral:rRNA from 1 species